UAGCAAGGUAGCCUGUGGACACGGAUGGUAGUCUCGUUGUAUCGGGCUUGCACUGUGUUUGUGAAACACCUUCAUACUUGUGUGUGUGUCUUUCUUUUCUUUUGGUUUAGUCUUGCAUGCACUGUAGGUUUUGGUUACCUGUUUGGGUUCCCAAAGCCUCCAUUCUGUCACUGUCUGAAUGGUGUGGGCAUAGUUAAGAGGCUAUACUCUGGAUUUAGGGUUUCCCCUUGUUCUGCGGUGACUACAAUCAGCUGAGAUUCCAACCAGAUCUAAAGGAUUAAAGUGGCCUCACAUAUCGCCACUCACCUAGAGCAAAUGAUACAAAAUGGGGAUGGCUAUAUCUUGUCCUGGGUGUCAUGGUAAAUGAGUCGGAAA
rnacentral:lncRNA from 1 species